CCUACGGGUGGCAGCAGUGGGGAAUAUUGGACAAUGGGCGUAAGCCUGAUCCAGCCAUGCCGCGUGUGUGAAGAAGGCCUUCGGGUUGUAAAGCACUUUCAGUGGGGAAGAAAGCCUUGGGGCUAAUACCCUCGAGGAAGGACAUCACCCACAGAAGAAGCACCGGCUAACUCCGUGCCAGCAGCCGCGGUAAUACGGAGGGUGCGAGCGUUAAUCGGAAUUACUGGGCGUAAAGCGCGCGUAGGCGGUCUGAUAAGCCGGUUGUGAAAGCCCCGGGCUCAACCUGGGAACGGCAUCCGGAACUGUCAGGCUAGAGUGCAGGAGAGGAAGGUAGAAUUCCCGGUGUAGCGGUGAAAUGCGUAGAGAUCGGGAGGAAUACCAGUGGCGAAGGCGGCCUUCUGGACUGACACUGACGCUGAGGUGCGAAAGCGUGGGUAGCAAACAGGAUUAGAUACCCCUGUAGUC
rnacentral:rRNA from 1 species